rnacentral:lncRNA from 1 species
CUGACAACUGGGAAAACAGAGCAGUGGGGAAUGCUGGCAUUCCAGGGGCCAGUGGUUGAUUUCCUAUCAGAUGGUCCUCAGCAUGGAAUUAUUGAUAGCUGCAGGGAUAACAGAACACUCACUACUCUCUGGAAGCAGAUUCACGAGGAAGGUCAGAGGAUUUCAGAUGUUGUUGCUGUCUGUAAAAGAAUUUAUAAUUUGCAUCUUCCUGUGCUCAACUUGCUCCUAGGCACCGUCCUCUGGUGCUUGAAGUUGGUAUGCCUUCUGUCUGGACAAGUAGCUUCUUAGGCUAUUAAUUAUGUAAUUAAAAGUCUAAACCUUCUCAUUU